rnacentral:piRNA from 1 species
UGCCACAUAACUAGACAAAUGUCAGUUCAAA